rnacentral:rRNA from 1 species
UACGUAGGGUGCAAGCGUUGUCCGGAAUUAUUGGGCGUAAAGAGUUCGUAGGCGGUCUGUCGCGUCUGCUGUGAAAACUCAGGGCUUAACCCUGAGCUUGCAGUGGGUACGGGCAGACUAGAGUGCGGUAGGGGAGACUGGAAUUCCUGGUGUAGCAGUGAAAUGCGCAGAUAUCAGGAGGAACACCGGUGGCGAAGGCGGGUCUCUGUGCCGUAACUGACGCUUAGGAGCGAAAGCAUGGGGAGCGAACAGG